rnacentral:rRNA from 1 species
GAUGAACGCUGGCGGCGUGCCUAAUACAUGCAAGUCGAGCGAACGGACGAGAAGCUUGCUUCUCUGAUGUUAGCGGCGGACGGGUGAGUAACACGUGGAUAACCUACCUAUAAGACUGGGAUAACUUCGGGAAACCGGAGCUAAUACCGGAUAAUAUUUUGAACCGCAUGGUUCAAAAGUGAAAGACGGUCUUGCUGUCACUUAUAGAUGGAUCCGCGCUGCAUUAGCUAGUUGGUAAGGUAACGGCUUACCAAGGCAACGAUGCAUAGCCGACCUGAGAGGGUGAUCGGCCACACUGGAACUGAGACACGGUCCAGACUCCUACGGGAGGCAGCAGUAGGGAAUCUUCCGCAAUGGGCGAAAGCCUGACGGAGCAACGCCGCGUGAGUGAUGAAGGUCUUCGGAUCGUAAAACUCUGUUAUUAGGGAAAAACAUAUGUGCAAGUAACUGUGCACAUCUUGACGGUACCUAAUCAGAAAGCCACGGCUAACUACGUG